rnacentral:rRNA from 1 species
GACGAACGCUGGCGGCGUGCUUAACACAUGCAAGUCGAACGCAGUGGCGAACGGGUGAGUAACGCGUAAUCAACAUGCCCUUCAGAGGGGGACAACAGUUGGAAACGACUGCUAAUACUGCAUACUGAAGGCGGGGAUUGGGUGUGAUUCGCUAGUUGGGGGGGGAACGGCCAACAAAGGCGAUGAUCAGUAGCCGGUCGGAGAGGGUGAACGGCCACAUUGGGACUGAGACACGGCCCAGACUCCUACGGGAGGCAGCAGUGGGGAACCUUCCGCAAUGGACGAAAGUCUGACGGAGCAACGCCUCGUGAUUGAUGACGGCCUUCGGGUUUUAAAGCUCUGUUAAUCGGGACGCGGUACCGAAAUAGAAAGCCACGGCUAACUACGUGCCAGCAGCCGCGGUAAUA